GGUUUGAAGAGAUUUUGUCUUGAGUUUGUUGGGAAAGAUACUGAGAUUAGAGCACCAGUCUAGCAACAAAAAUUUUAACUUGUCAAGAUACCCGACGGAUUGGUGAACCUCCACCAAGCUUUCGCACCCAGAAAAAACCAAGAUCGG